rnacentral:rRNA from 1 species
GACGAACGCUGGCGGCGUGCUUAACACAUGCAAGUCGAGCGAUGAAGCACCUUCGGGUGUGAAUUAGCGGCGAACGGGCGAGGAACACGUGAAGAAUCUGCCUUCAACUCUGGGAUAACUCCGGGAAACCGGGGCUAAUACCGGAUAUGAGCCUUGAUCGCAUGAUCGGGGCUGGAAAGUCUUUCGGUUGAAGAUGACUUCGCGGCCUAUCAGCUUGUUGGUGAGGUAAUGGCUCACCAAGGCGACGACGGGUAGCCAGCCUGAGAGGGCGACCGGCCACACUGGGACUGAGACACGGCCCAGACUCCUACGGGAGGCAGCAGUGGGGAAUAUUGGGCAAUGGAGGAAACUCUGACCCAGCGACGCCGCGUGAGGGAUGAAGGCCUUCGGGUUGUAAACCUCUUUCAGUAGGGAAGAAGCGAAAGUGACGGUACCUACAGAAGAAGCACCGGCUAACUAUGUGCCAGCCGCCGCCGUAA